CCUGGAUGUGUCUGUGAACCACAUGCAAUACUCAUGGAAGCCAGAAGAGGGCAUCUGGGUCUCCUGGAGUUGGAGUUACAGAGAGUUGUGAGCUGCCCCUUGGUCACUGGGAAUAUAACCUGGUUUCUCUGGAAGAGCAGUCAAUGCUCUGAAUCAUCUCUCUAGCCCCCAGAAUUUAAUUUUCAGUGAUAACACUUACAAUCUAUUCUCGUGCACUUUAAAAAGACUGUGACCACCACAGCUUUGGACCACAGCUUC
rnacentral:lncRNA from 1 species